rnacentral:rRNA from 1 species
UACGUAGGUGGCAAGCGUUGUCCGGAUUUAUUGGGUUUAAAGGGUGCGUAGGCGGUCAUAUAAGUCUGCGGUGAAAUCCGGCAGCUCAACUGUCGAUGUGCCAUUGAUACUGUAUGACUUGAGUACUGAUGAGGUAGGCGGAAUUGACGGUGUAGCGGUGAAAUGCUUAGAUAUCAUGAAGAACACCGAUAGCGAAGGCAGCUUACUAAGCAGUAACUGACGCUGAGGCACGAAAGUGUGGGGAUCGAACAGG